UACGUAGGGUGCGAGCGUUGUCCGGAAUUACUGGGCGUAAAGAGCUCGUAGGUGGUUUGUCGCGUUGUUCGUGAAAACUCACAACUCAAUUGUGGGCGUGCGGGCGAUACGGGCAGACUGGAGUACUGCAGGGGAGACUGGAAUUCCUGGUGUAGCGGUGAAAUGCGCAGAUAUCAGGAGGAACACCGGUGGCGAAGGCGGUGAUCUGGGCCACUACUGACGCUGAGAAGCGAAAGCAUGGGGAGCGAACAGG
rnacentral:rRNA from 1 species